rnacentral:rRNA from 1 species
GAUGAACGCUGGCGGCGUGCUUAACACAUGCAAGUCGAGCGGAGAUAUUUAAACGGAAGGUUUCGGCUGGAAGGUUAAAUAUCUUAGCGGCGGACGGGUGAGUAACGUGUGGGCAACCUGCCCUGUACUGUGGAAUAAUCACUGGAAACGGUGACUAAUACCGCAUGUCAUCACAAGGGGGCAUCCCCUUGUGAGAAAAGGAUUUAUUCGAUACGAGAUGGGCCCGCAUCUGAUUAGCUAGUUGGUGAGAUAACAGCCCACCAAGGCAACGAUCAGUAGCCGACCUGAGAGGGUGAUCGGCCACAUUGGGACUGAGACACGGCCCAAACUCCUACGGGAGGCAGCAGUGGGGAAUAUUGCACAAUGGGCGAAAGCCUGAUGCAGCAACGCCGCGUGAAGGAUGAAGGGUUUCGGCUCGUAAACUUCUAUCAAUAGGGACGAAAAAAAUGACGGUACCUAAAUAAGAAGCCCCGGCUAACUACGUGCCAGCAGCCGCGGUAAUACGUAGGGGGCAAGCGUUAUCCGGAAUUACUGGGUGUAAAGGGAGAGUAGGCGGCAUGGUAAGUUAGAUGUGAAAGCCCGGGGCUUAACCUCGGGAUUGCAUUUAAAACUAUCAAGCUAGAGUACAGGAGAGGUAAGUGGAAUUCCUAGUGUAGCGGUGAAAUGCGUAGAUAUUAGGAAGAACACCAGUGGCGAAGGCGACUCACUGGACUGAAACUGACGCUGAGGCUCGAAAGCGUGGGGAGCGAACAGGAUUAGAUACCCUGGUAGUCCACGCCGUAAACGAUGAGUGCUAGGUGUCGGGGGGGAACCCUCGGUGCCGCAGCUAACGCAAUAAGCACUCCACCUGGGGAGUACGAUCGCAAGAUUGA